rnacentral:lncRNA from 1 species
CUGGAAACGUAGCAUUGAGGUGUAUUUUCCGGAAUUUGCCGAGUAUCACCGGAAUGCCAUGCGAUAACGUUACGGAAAGGCAUGUGAUAACAGUCGAAGCAUGUGAUAAACUUUUCCUAUCAGCCCGCUAAGCACCAAUUGGAAAAAUAUGGAAUUUACGUUAAUUUAAUGCUAUUAUCAUACAGUAAAAAUCAUAUGUUAUUUAGUCUAAGUAUAUGAUAAAUAAACAUAUCAAC